rnacentral:rRNA from 1 species
UACGAAGGGUGCAAGCGUUUAAUCGGAAUUACUGGGCGUAAAGCGUGCGUAGGCGGUUGGUUAAGUCUGUCGUGAAAGCCCUGGGCUCAACCUGGGAAUGGCGAUGGAAACUGGCCAGCUAGAGUGUGAUAGAGGAUGGCGGAAUUCCCGGUGUAGCGGUGAAAUGCGUAGAGAUCGGGAGGAACGAUCCGUGGCGAAGGCGGCCAAGUCGUCGGAUCAACACGUGACGCUGAGGCACGAAAGCGUGGGGAGCAACAGGG